AAUCAAAGUUCCGGCGGUUAUAGAUGGGCAUGCGUGACAUUAGCUAGUUGGUGAGGUAGAGGCUCACCAAGGCGACGAUGUCUAGGGGGUCUGAGAGGAUGAUCCCCCACACUGGUACUGAGACACGGACCAGACUCCUACGGGAGGCAGCAGUGAGGAAUAUUGCGCAAUGGAGGAAACUCUGACGCAGCCAUCCCGCGUGCAGGAUUGACGGCCCUAUGGGUUGUAAACUGCUUUUCUAUACCAAGAAACACCGAUACGUGUAUCGGUUUGCCGGUAGUAUAGGAAUAAGCAUCGGCUAACACCGUGCCAGCAGCCGCGGUAAUACGGAGGAUGCAAGCGUUAUCCGGAAUCACUGGGUUUAAAGGGUGCGCAGGCGGAAUAGUAAGUCAGAGGUGAAAGCCCACAGCUCAACUGUGGAAUUGCCUUUGAUACUGUUAUUCUUGAGUGUAGUUGAAGUAGGCGGAAUAUAGCAUGUAGCGGUGAAAUGCAUAGAUAUGCUAUAGAACACCAAUUGCGAAGGCAGCUUGCUAAACUAUAACUGACGCUGAGGCACGAAAGCGUGGGGAGCGAACAGGAUUAGAUACCCUGGUAGUCCACGCCGUAAACUAUGAACACUCGCUGUUGGCAAUACACAGUCAGCGGCUGAGCGAAAGCGUUAAGUGUUCCACCUGGGAAGUACGAUCGCAAGGUUGAAACUCAAAGGAAUUGACGGGGGCCCGCACAAGCGGAGGAGCAUGUGGUUUAAUUCGAUGAUACGCGAGGAUCCUUACCUGGGCUUAAAUGUAUAUUGACGUACUGAGAAAUCAGUAUUUCUUCGGACAAUUUACAAGGUGCUGCAUGGUUGUCGUCAGCUCGUGCCGUGAGGUGUCGGGUUAAGUCCCAUAACGAGCGCAACCCCUACUUCUAGUUACCAGCAUUUCGGAUGGGGACUCUAGAGGAACUGCCUACGCAAGUAGCCCGGAAGGUGGGGAUGACGUCAAAUCAGCACGGCCCUUAUGUCCAGGGCUACACACGUGCUACAAUGGCCGGUACAGAGGGCAGCUACAUAGCAAUAUGAUGCUAAUCUCAAAAGCCGGUCUCAGUCCGGAUUGGAGUCUGCAACUCAACGGCAUGAAGUCGGAAUCGCUAGUAAUCGCGUAACAGC
rnacentral:rRNA from 1 species